UACGAAGGGGGCUAGCGUUGCUCGGAAUCACUGGGCGUAAAGCGCACGUAGGCGGCUUGUUAAGUCAGGGGUGAAAUCCUGAAGCUCAACUCCAGAACUGCCUUUGAUACUGGCGAGCUUGAGUCCGGGAGAGGUGAGUGGAACUGCGAGUGUAGAGGUGAAAUUCGUAGAUAUUCGCAAGAACACCAGUGGCGAAGGCGGCUCACUGGCCCGGUACUGACGCUGAGGGUGCGAAAAGCGUGGGGGAGCAAACAGG
rnacentral:rRNA from 1 species